AAGAAAUAUAUGAAGACAAUGGUUAUGUUAUUUUUCUCAAGAAACAUUUACAAAAUAAUGGAAUUCAUUAUCACAAGUUUUAAGUUGAAAAUUUAACAAAUAAUAAUCAAUGGAGCUGAUAACUCAUUAUACUACUAUCUUAUUUUUCAUCUACCACAAGUUAGUCUAUAUAUUGUACCCCAGUCUUCCAAAAGUUUAUAUACACAUGUUACAAAGAGGUUAAUAUGGUGUUAAUUGUGCAACGCAACCAACAGCACACAGAACAGCACUGAGAGAGCAGAGAACAGUGAAGUAACACAGAACACAGAUAGGUCCAUCUUUCAACCAGUUGUUUCACACUGCUUUUACACUAUGGUUAA